UGACUCAAAGAAACUUUCACCGAAGAAUAAAAACAAAAGCGGAAACGUUUCUCAAAAAUCUGCGGAAACAUCGUUAUUUUGAUAUCUCCAUACGUCGCGUCAAUUUAAUAAAUUCGUAAAAACUGGUCGCCCGUUACGCAAAAAAUCCUUCGUAUAAUCAGAUCAUGUCAUACGAAGUAACUUUCAAAAGUAAACGUAACAGGUUUUACUAAAAAGUACUUUCCUUAUAGCAAAAACCAAGCUGUAUGAUCCGACCUUGGACGACCAAUAUAAACUUUACUUCCUCGCACCACGAUCUGAAAGGUCUCAUUCUGUAGCCCCACGACUCACUGGCAUCCGCUCUCAUUCCGCUUGGUCACGUCCGAGCAGGAAACCACCCCGCAACUGACCCUGCACGGGCUCUGUAUCGAGCAUCUUAGGCUUUAUCUCCCUCCGAAACAAAGGAAACAACUUCCAUACGAAUAAAGAAA
rnacentral:lncRNA from 1 species